rnacentral:rRNA from 1 species
AUGGGCGCACUAAACCCAAAGGCGCAAUGAAAGUGAAAGGGGGUGCUCCUCCUCCUUUCGAGGAGGAGGGGCCCUCCGGGGCCGAUCCCUGACCGAGUGAGAUAGCACCCGGGACCCACACCAAAGUGGGGCCAAUGGCGGCGCGCGUAUAGGUGAGACCCUUUCCCGCGCGCGACCGUCGGCCCUGCGGGAUCCCCGGCUGUGCGCUUCCGGUCUGGAGUGGUGGUGGUAUUGCUGCUGCUACUCCGCCUGUACGCAGGGGGGCGCAGGCCCGGGACUUGCCACCCGACGCCGUCGCGUGAAGCUGUUGUUGGCCUCGCCGGCUCUGCCUGGGCUCUCGGUUGGCGUGCCGCGUGUCUUUGGGCGAUACACUGCUGUCGUCGUCGUCGUCCUCGGGCGGCGGCGGCCUCGGUGGUGGUUCGUCCGGCGCGGUGGCGCUCUCCGAUCCUGCUCUGUCCGGCGGGGUCUAGCGCGCGUGCUGUCGGCAAGUACCAUGAGCAGACAUGUUGGGGACCCGAAAGAUGGUGAACUAUGCCUGGCCAGGAUGAAGCCAGAG